rnacentral:rRNA from 1 species
AAGUGAAAUAGGUUUGAUAAAAUUGAAAAAUUUAGUAAGUUGUUUCAUGUUUUAGUUUAUUAAGGAUAAGCUUAAUAAAGGAUAGGGAGAAUAUAUUAGGCUGAGUGAAUUAUGUGAGCUUGAGAUUGGCUAUCAUAGUGGAAUUUGUUACAAAGUAAUCUAGAAAAUUAGAAAAAUUUUUAUAUUUACCUUCCUUGAAUUAUAAAGGCAAUAGGAAAAAUUGUUGAACCUAAUUUGUGUAUGCUAAGAUGAGUAUUUUAGAAUUUUUUAAGAGGUAGAAAUAUUUAAAAAUACCUAUAAUAAUAAUUAUUUUUAAAAAAAUAAAAUAAAAGAAAGGAACUCGGCAAAUAUUAGCUCCGCCUGUUUAUCAAAAACAUGGCUCUUUGUUGAUUUUAUAUAGAGAGUCGAACCUGCCCAGUGAGAAUUUUUAACGGCCGCGGUACCCUGACCGUGCAAAGGUAGCAUAAUCAUUUGCCUUAUAAUUGAAGGCUUGUAUGAAUGGUUUAACGAGAGCAUUGCUGUCUCUUUUUUAGUAGAUAGAAUUUGACUUUUAGGUGAAGAGGCCUAAAUGUAAUUGAAAGACAAGAAGACCCUAUCGAGCUUAAAAGUUGAGUUAGAAUUAGUUAUAAAUUUAAAUUUACUGCUGACUUAUUUUUUGAUUGGGGCGAUCAAGGAACAAUAAAAGCUUCCUUUGUUCAUUUUGACUUAUAAGUAUUGAUCCAGUUAAGACUGAUUAAAAAAAUUAGUUACCGUAGGGAUAACAGCAUAAUCUCUCUUGAGAGACCUAAUCGAAAGAGGGGGUUGUGACCUCGAUGUUGGACUAGAAUAUCCUAAAGGCGCAGUAAGUCUUU